GCCUGAGUGGUGUGGUGGUAGAGCGUGUAGUGGUAGAGCACGCGUCCCCGGAUAGGAUGAAACGUGGGUUCGAUUCCCGCCUGAGGUU